AGCUCCAAUAGCGUAUAUUUAAGUUGUUGCAGUUAAAAAGCUCGUAGUUGGAUUUCGGGUGGGCACCGCCGGUCUCCCUUUGGGUUGUACUGGCGUGGCGCACCUUGCUGUCGGGGACCGGUCGCUGCCUUAACUGAUGGCGGCCGGAAAUCGGCGACGUUACUUUGAGUAAAUUAGAGUGUUCAAAGCAAGCCUACGCUCUGAAUAUGAUAGCAUGGGAUAACACGACAGGACUCUGGCCUAUCGUGUUGGUCUGUAGGACCAGAGUAAUGAUUAAGAGGGACAGUCGGGGGCAUUCGUAUUCCGUUGUCAGAGGUGAAAUUCUUGGAUUUACGGAAGACGAACAUCUGCGAAAGCAUUUGCCAAGGAUGUUUUCA
rnacentral:rRNA from 1 species